AGUCUUUCACCUCCUUGAUUAAAUUUAUUCUUAAGUAUUUUAUUCUUUGUGAUGCAACUGUAAAUGAGAUGUUUUCUUAAUUUCUCUUUAUGACAGUUCACUAGUGUAUAGAAAUGAAGCAAUUUUUAUAUAUUAACUAGAGGCCCGUUGCAGGAAGAUUCCUGCAAUAGGGCUUGGCUCCCACCUCUGCCGCCUCGGCUCCCUCCCGCCUCCCGCCUCCUGCCUCCGCUGCCUUGGCUCUGUUCCUGUCUCCGCCGCCUCUACUUUGCUCCCUUCUGCAGCGCUUGGGUUCCUUCUACGUUGUCUUCAGUCUCUGCUCCCAGCUGGUAUAUGCAAAUUGACCACCAUCUUGGUUGGGUUAAUUUGCAUAUAGUCGCUCUGAUUGGCUGGUGGGCAUAGCGAAGGUAUGGUUAAUUAGCAUCUUUGUCUUUUAUUAGUGUAGAUUUUGUAUACUGCAACUUUAAUGAAUUACUUUGGUGGAGUCCUUAGGGUUUUCUGCUUAUAAUAUCAUAUCAUCUACAGCUGGUACCAGUUUUACUUCUUUUCUGAUUUUAAUGACUUUUCUUUUUCUUACUUAAUUGCUCUAUCUAAGACGUCCAAUACCGUGUUGAGUAAGUGGCAAGAAUAGGGAUCUUUGUCUUGUUACUAAUCUUAAGAUCAGCUUUUCACUAUUGAGUAUGGUAUUAGCUAUGGGCUUGUGAUAUAAAGCCUUAACUAUACUGAGGUAUGUUCCUUCUAUACCCAUUUUGUUGCGUACUUUGUUGACUUUUUUAACACAUGGUUUUCUUUAGUCCUUUGAACAUAUUUAUGUCUACUUUGAAAUCUUUGUUAAUCUGAUAUCUGGUUGAUCUCAUAGGCAAUUUCUGUUGUCUUUUUUUUUUUUUUAACCUGGUAUAUGGAUCAGACUUUCCUGUUUCUUUUCAUGCCUCAUAAUUUUUGUUGAAAACUGGACAUUUCAGAUAACACUGUAGCAAUUCUGAGUACUAAUGCUCUCCUCCCCCUACUGCAUGGCUUGCUAUUAUUAUUUGCUUAUUAGUUUAGUGAGGUUUUGGAUAACUUUAGUGAAGUUAAUCCCUACCUCCACGCCUACUGUGAAAUCUUUGAUGUUGCUCCUUGGGUAGUGCAGCCUUGUGAAUGCCCAGUUCCCAUGGGAUAGCAGUGGUUUUGGCAGGGCUCUCUGUAUUAAAUGCUCACACCCAGCUGUUAAACACCACUGAUUGCUCUACAUUUUCAACAAUAACUUGGGGCAUAUGUUGCUUCAGAGACUGAUCCAAUUAAAUUUGGGCUCCUUUGAAAAAAUAACUUUGGAGAUGAAUGUUUGAAAUUUGUUCUGAUCCCAGGAGGUCUCUUCUCUGCUGUUUCUUUCCAGGUUCUCCCUGUUAAUUGACCCAGCCUACAGUUUAGCUUAUGUUUUUAAUGAACUUACCAACUAUCUCUUAAUUAUUUUUCACUACAGUCUCCAUAGUUUUUGAGAGAAUCUUAGGCUUCAACGUGACUACACUGUUUUGCAAAUAAUGCUGGUUCCUUUUGUUGUUGUUAUUGUUUUGUUAAUCAUUUGCUUCUCUCACUGGAAAAAAUCUCUGAGCCAGAGCUCUGAAUCUGAAGGUGAGACAAUGAUGUGCUCUGAGUAACACCUCUGCUGCAGGAGGUAAGUACUUGGUAGAGGGGCAGCAGUAAUUUCAGGUCUUCUUUUCUUGCCUCUCCCAGUGUGGAACCUCCACCCUAUGGGUACACAAGGGUGAUCAGGGCCCUAGUAUUCUCAGUAGCACCAUGUCCAGGCUAAAGUCUCCAUCCAAUGAGUACAUUUCCUUCUGAAGGGAAACAUUCCAACUGCCUUAAGACAAAUUGGUACCAGUCUUCUGGAAACAAUAAGCUCAUCUCCCUCAUUUUGGAACUCGGCACACAGUUAGACCUCCACUCCUCAGGUACACUUAACAGUUGGCUCAUCACCCAAAACAUCAUCAGACCAGUCAUCUAAAAUUUCUGAAUUUAAACUAACUGUGUCCUCUGGGGAUUUGGUUUGUGGUGAAGUAUUCAAACCAGGCAGGAUUAUUAGGGAUGCUUUCUCUUUAUUUUCAGU